rnacentral:lncRNA from 1 species
CAAAUAAAGCACGUAUAUACACUCACCGGCCACUUUAUUAGGUACACCAUGCUAGUAACGGGUUGGACCCCCUUUUGCCUUCAGAACUGCCUCAAUUCUUCGUGGCAUAGAUUCAACAAGGUGCUGGAAGCAUUCCUCAGAGAGCUUGGUCCAUAUUGACAUGAUGGCAUCACACAGUUGCCGCAGAUUUGUCGGCUGCACAUCCAUGAUGCGAAUCUCCCGUUCCACCACAUCCCAAAGAUGCUCUAUUGGACUGAGAUCUGGUGACUGUGGAGGCCAUUUGAGUACAGUGAACUCAUUGUCAUGUUCAAGAAACCAGUCUGAGAUGAUUCCAGCUUAAUGACAUGGCGCAUUAUCCUGCUGAAAGUAGCCAUCAGAAGUUGGGUACAUUGUGGUCAUAAAGGGAUGGACAUGGUCAGCAACAAUACUCAGGUAGGCUGUGGCGUUGCAACGAUGCUCAAUUGGUACCAAGGGGCCCAAAGAGUGCCAAGAAAAUAUUCCCCACACCAUGACACCACCACCACCAGCCUGAACCGUUGAUACAAGGCAGGAUGGAUCCAUGCUUUCAUGUUGUUGACGCCAAAUUCUGACCCUACCAUCCGAAUGUCGCAGCAGAAAUCGAGACUCAUCAGACCAGGCAACGUUUUUCCAAUCUUCUAUUGUCCAAUUUCGAUGAGCUUGUGCAAAUUGUAGCCUCAGUUUCCUGUUCUUAGCUGAAAGGAGUGGCACCCGGUGUGGUCUUCUGCUGCUGUAGCCCAUCUGCCUCAAAGUUCGACGUACUGUGCGUUCAGAGAUGCUCUUCUGCCUACCUUGGUUGUAACGGGUGGUUAUUUGAGUCACUGUUGCCUUUCUAUCAGCUCGAACCAGUCUGGCCAUUCUCCUCUGACCUCUGGCAUCAACAAGGCAUUUCCGCCCACAGAACUGCCGCUCACUGGAUAUUUUUUCUUUUUCGGACCAUUCUCUGUAAACCCUAGAGAUGGUUGUGCGUGAAAAUCCCAGUAGAUCAGCAGUUUCUGAAAUACUCAGACCAGCCCUUCUGGCACCAACAACCAUGCCACGUUCAAAGUCACUCAAAUCACCUUUCUUCCCCAAACUGAUGCUCGGUUAGAACUGCAGGAGAUUGUCUUGACCAUGUCUACAUGCCUAAAUGCACUAAGUUGCCGCCAUGUGAUUGGCUGAUUAGAAAUUAAGUGUUAACGAGCAGUUGGACAGGUGUACCUAAUAAAGUG